UGAUGAUGAUGAGAGAGAGAAUGUGCCUGUUUCUGAGAGAAGCUCUGGUAACAGGUUUCUGGGUAAAUGAAAGUUGUAUUGUCUUCCCUCAGAGAUGACUUGAAAAUAAAGUGCUUUAAAGCUAAUACUGCAGAUGUCUGCAGGAAACUCAGCACCACACUGAACACUGUAGUUAGAUAGCUGAGCGAAAAAGUACAUGAAGGAAGGGGCUAAUGUGCAUUACUUCUAUUUAAGAUAGAAGGAGGAAAUAGAAAUUGUGAUAGCAUGCUAUUUCAAGUAAUAAUAGAAAGUACUUGAUGUUUACACGGUGAAUGGAUCAAUACUAAUUCUGUAGUCAGCGCACAUGCAGUAGUUUGGAUUAUACGAGUGAUAGAUGCGCUCAGUAUAGCUGAAAUUUGCACCCUGCAACAUUCAUUUCUUGCUGCGUGUUAGAUGGAAUCUUCCACCCAACUAUCUGGAGGGAUUUACAUCAGAAUGGUGAUAGAGCAGAGUGUUCUUUAAUGAUGUGCUUUUCUUUGUUAAACUUCAAAAAUGUCUAUGGUGCAUGAUGAGGUUUGGGUGAAUUGCCAAGCUAAUGCUUUUCUAUUUUCUUUAAAGAGCUUAUCUUCAGCGUGUCGUGCGAGUUACUUUACACUGUGGUUAUAGAGGCAGUGGCAGCAAAGCUGAAUUUGUAGCAAUCCCCAAUAAAUGCCUCCUCCUCCUCUAGGGCUUGGUCUUGCUAAGAAGGGAAGGCUGCCUCUGGUUCCGCUGCAGUGAGUCCCUUGGAUUUGCUUUAUGUUCUCAUACCUGGUUUUGCUCACCAAGAAGUGAAGAGGUCAUUCUCCUGUUCAAACAGUGACCUCCUGCUAGCCUAAAUCAGCACUGUCCUUGUCAAAUGGGCUUGAGAUCAGCCCAACUGGAGCUCUCACGGAGGAUGAGUUGAAUUAUUCAGAUCAGAGCCUGGGAGCAACUGCAGUUUGGAGAGUGACCUUUUUGUCCUCCCCACCAGAACCUAAUGUUUACAAUGUGAGGAGGAAAAGGGACUGGAAUCUUGGGAAUUCCAGGAAUGCAUCCUCCAAGCAAAAGAAGCUUUCCUUCCUGGGUUGUGCCCUCCGGAGACUCUCCAGAAUCUGCUCCACAGCAAGGAUUUGCAAGUACAAAGGUGGAAACACAAAACCCCCAAAGCUGGAGCCCGCAAGGCUAAUCCAGUAGAGGACUUCACAUUAACCCCCGUUUCAAAGAAUUUGAAAGCCAAGAAUGGAAGGAAAUUUAAGGUCACCUAAUCCUACCCUUUGUCUAAAGCGUGAGUCUCUUUCCCAACAUAGCUUUGCAGCUCAUUGAUCAUCAGUUGCUGCUUGAAUACCUCUGAGGACAAAGAACUCAGUUCCUCUAAACAGCAAGGACAGUGAAACCGAGAAGGACCCCGUGGGGCUUCUGGUCAGGGAAGCCUUUUUGUCCCCCGUUUCUUGUAGGCAAGACUCCAGUCUCCAUGACCUUCCCUGAGUUCCAAAGGGCAGAUUCGAACAGUUGCUAAUCAAGGAGGGAACAGCCAAGAAGCCACCUGAGGCAAGAUUAAAGGGACCAGAGAAGCUCAUCAAGAUUAGAAGACCAACCACCUGAGACCAGACCAAGGGAGUGCAAGCCCUGCACACACCCGAAUCUUAUCAACAACUCCAUCCUUGAACUAUUACUAUAACACUCUUCAUUGGAUCCUCCCGGAUUGAGGCACAUAGUUUUCAAGGGCAGGAGCCCACUGUGUCCCCCUUUGCCUGGCAAAGCAAAAAAAAAACUGUUCUUUUCUACUUCACCUAAAACUCUGUCUCUGAGAUUUGAUUCUGCACUGGCGCAGAGAGGCCAAGCUUUUGGCAUCAACAGCAAUGACAUUAUAGGUAGGACUUACUAUGUGUCAGGCUUGUGAUACACCCUGAAGAGUCAUGAUCUCAUUUAAUGCUCACAACACCCUUAUGAGAACUAAUUGCGCCACCUCUUUUCCGAUGGGGGAACUGAGGCUUUGUGUGUUGCAGAGAAAGGAAUUAAGAGUGUGUGUUCUUAACCCCUGCACCCCUCGGCCCAGGCUGUCCCAUCCUCAGCAGCCCCAAUUGUUAUUUUCUGUCCCUUGGGGACACUUGGAAUACACUUUGCCAAUCUUGCACACACUAGCCCUUCCAACAUUUGAGGCAGCCUUCCUGUCCCUCAACCUGCCUCCCAGUUUUCCUUUUUUUCUAUUCCAUGCCAAACAUUGCUCUUUGUCUCAGUUUGGCGAGUUCCUCUGGACCCAUUCCUGCUUACCAAUGCUCUUCUCAAAACAUGUGUCAUUUCCCUUUGGAACAUUCUGAAGAGACCUUAUCAUUGUUGCCUUCUUCUUAUUAGGAGACAGUGGGCUCUGUUGGCGGCAGGGAUCCACGAAGGCAUCUAUUCUGGGUGCAGAGGGAGGCUUUCCAAAGAGCACAAGGUGAACUUUUUCCAUAGCUCUUUUCAGGGAGAAGGCAUUUAAAAAAUCCAGAGUAUUAAAAUAAGCCAGGGUUGAGCUUCGAUGUCAUUGCUGGUGGGAAAGGCAAUGUCAGAGUGAAGGACUUGGAGCCUUCGUGCAGGGUGUUCGCAGUGGUCCUCCCGGGUCCUGGGGGAGGCAGCUGCUCUUGGGUCUAACUCAGCCUCUGACCUGGACUCCCCGCAGCUCACUGGCAGGUCCCCGUGACCCUCUGCAUUAGCCUCCCGGCUUCUGAAAGGUGAUCAUGUUGUUGACACUCUGGAGUUGAAUUUCUCAUGGAGUGAGUUCUGACUCUGAAUCAGGCAAUCUCCGGCUUGCUGUGUGCCCUUGGGCAAAUCCCUCUUCGGGCUUUAGUAAAGUAGAGAUCAGUGUCUUCUUAACAGUGUUAAAUUAAUUAAGCAAGGAGAACAUGAGACUGAGGCAGUUCGGAUACCACGGGCGCCUACAUCAGCAAACCAAAAUCUAAGCCUGUAAACGCCUCAAAGCCACGAAAUCAAAACACUGAGGACAACCAAUCACAAAGGCCAGCCAGGCCCUAAGCUCCAGCCAAUCAAUAAUUUCCUUACUUUGCUUCUGUGUCUUCUCUAUGAAAGUCUCUCCCCAGCUCCCAUUGGUGGGGUUUGGUGCUGCCUGAUUGGGAUCAAUUUUUACUGAAAUAAACUCUUAAAAUGUUUAGUAUGAUGCAGUUUAUCUUUUAACAAUGCUGGUGUCAGAAGAGGAACCGAAGGAGGCCCCCGAGAGCCCCCAGGAGCAACAAGCAACCAGCUGGCCUCUCACUCUCUUCCCAACAAUGUCUGGGUUUCCCUCAAAGCUACCAAGUGCUAAUUUGAAAAAUAUGUUACCGACAAGUGGGAGAAAAGCAGGCAUCCAAUGUGAAAUGCCCUCUAGGGCGUGGAGGAACUCCCAGAGAGAGAGAGAGUGUGCGCGUGCGCGUGCACGCCCGUGCACCAGGGCUGCGUGCUCUCUGAGCACCAGGAAGAAAUGGGAGCGACUGAUGGAGACUGAGAAGCUCAUUUAUAGCUUGGUGACAUCUUGGGCGGCUGGAUGAAACCCUCCGUUGCAUUUAAGGUGCUGUGAACCUGGUGGGAAAGAAGAGACAUGUAGAGCAAUUAUCACAACACAGUGUGGUCUGUGCCAUCAUCUUAAAGGUGGGCUGUCAGUGCUGGGCCUAGGAGGCUCCCUCCUGAUCCCUGACUGCAAAAGAGCUCAGCUUGGUGCAGAAGACAAUAUAUACCUCUAAGCCUUGGCGUCUUUCUCCCUCUGGUCUGACGGUGCUCAGUCCUGGCGAAAGGUGAAGAACUGGAGACAUAGAGGAUUGAAGAAGAGCAAGUCAUGAUCCAAAUCAAGCCUGAAACCUCUUUCUAUUGAUUGCCUUACCUGUCAGUAACUCAAUAAGCAGUAUUGCCUCUUUCAAAAAUCAAUGGAUGGAAAUGCUAUGAGGAAACAAAUUGAGAGAAAUCUUCAUUCUUGAAUACAAGCAUGAAACAAUGCCCAUACCUCUCUGUACUCACUUCUCUACACUUGGCUCAGUCAGCUCCACGCACACUGAAAUUAAGGUGAAGGCCAGCUGGACUCCUUUUUUAUUUUUAUUUUUUUAAUUGAGGUAUCAUUGAUGUACAAUAUUAUAUAAGUUUCAAGUGUAAAACAUAGUUGUUCAUGAUUUUUAAAGGGUUUAUUCCAUUUGUAUUUAUUAUGAAAUAUUGGCUAUGUUCCCUGUGUUGUAUAACCAGCUAGACUCUUAUCCUGGGACUUUGGGAAGAAUCUGCUUCCAGGCUUAUUCAAGUUGUUGGUAGAAUUCAGUAUUUUGCAUUUGCAGGACUGAGAUUUUCAUCUUCUUUCUGGCUGUUCGCUGGGGGGUUCACUGUCAUCUCUAGAGGCUUCUCCGAGGUCCUUCCAUGUGGCCCCCUCCAUCUGAGCAUUAGAGAACCUCCCUUAUGUUGUUCCUCACUUUCUCUUUUGCUACCAACUGGAGAAAACUCUGCUUUUAUUGGGCUCAUGUGAUUAGGUUAGGCCCAUAUGCAUAAUCGUUCUGUCUUAGGGUCAAUGUCUGCAAAAUCCCUUUUGCCACAUAACAUAACAUAAUCAUGGAAAUCAAACCAAGGAGCAAAGGGUACCAUGGGGUCGUAUUAAAAUUCUGCCUGCCAUACCACAGAUUGGGCUCACUCUCUUUUCUCAAUUGUUAACUUUUCAGCAAAGUGUUUCCUGGAAUCUAUCUAAAAUUUCAACUGCUCCUCUUAUCCCCACCCAAACUUCUACCCCCUUUGCCUGUUUUUUUUUUUAAUUUCUUCUUUAGCACUUAUCAUCUAAUGUACAAUAUGUCUUACUUAUUUAUACUGUUUGUUAUCUGUCUUCUCCAGCACAUGUAAUCUCAAAGAGAUCAGGGACUUUGUUGUUCUCUGCCGUAUGUAGUUCUCACUGGUAGAAUGGUG